CUGGCGGCNGCCUACACAUGCAAGUCGAGCGGAUGAAGAGAGCUUGCUCUCUGAUUCAGCGGCGGACGGGUGAGUAAUGCCUAGGAAUCUGCCUGGUAGUGGGGGACAACGUCUCGAAAGGGACGCUAAUACCGCAUACGUCCUACGGGAGAAAGCAGGGGACCUUCGGGCCUUGCGCUAUCAGAUGAGCCUAGGUCGGAUUAGCUANUUGGUGAGGUAAUGGCUCACCAAGGCGACGAUCCGUAACUGGUCUGAGAGGAUGAUCAGUCACACUGGAACUGAGACACGGUCCAGACUCCUACGGGAGGCAGCAGUGGGGAAUAUUGGACAAUGGGCGAAAGCCUGAUCCANCCAUGCCGCGUGUGUGAAGAAGGUCUUCGGAUUGUAAAGCACUUUAAGUUGGGAGGAAGGGCAGUAAGCGAAUACCUUGCUGUUUUGACGUUACCGACAGAAUAAGCACCGGCUAACUCUGUGCCAGCAGCCGCGGUAAUACAGAGGGUGCAAGCGUUAAUCGGAAUUACUGGGGCGUAAA
rnacentral:rRNA from 1 species